GCUGGGUGUGGUGGCCCAUACCUGUAAUCCCAGCAGCUUGGGAAGCUGAGGCAGGAGGAUCACGAGUUCAAAGCCAGCCUCAACAAAUUAGCAAGGCCCUAAGCAACUCAGCAAGACCCUGUCUCUA
rnacentral:sRNA from 1 species